rnacentral:rRNA from 1 species
AACUCGCCUACAUGAAGCUGGAAUUGCUAGUAAUCACAGGUCAGCAUACUGCGGUGAAUACGUUCCCGGGCCUUGUACACACCGCCCGUCACACCAUGAGAGUUGAGAAUACCCGAAGCCCAUGUCAAAGUGGUCGAAGGUAGGCUUGAUGAUUGGGGUGAAGUCGUAACAAGGUACC